rnacentral:tRNA from 1 species
GCUUGGGUGGCAGAGUAAGUGCGUUAGACUUAAGAUUUAAACAUGGGGUUUGAUUUGACCUCUCCAGGCA